UUACCCUGUGUGGGAUGCAAGGCCUCUUUA
rnacentral:piRNA from 1 species